rfam:Ciona savignyi cont_22913, whole genome shotgun sequence.
GUCGUCGUGGCCGAGUGGUUACGGCGACAGACUUGAAAUCUGUUGGGCUCUGCCCGCACAGGUCGAAUCCUGUCGGCGACG